rnacentral:rRNA from 1 species
AUUUAUUAAUUUAUUAAAAUUUAUAUUUUUAAAAAUUUAAUUAAAAUAUUAUAUUUUUUAUUAAUUUAUUAAGAACAAAUUAUUAUAAUUAUAGUUUAUUAGUACUUAAAAGGAAAUUUAAAAAAUUUAAAAAAGAAGAAUAUUUUUGUACCUUGUGCAUCAGGGUUUAUUAAAUAAAAUUUAAAAAUUUAUUUUUCUCGAAUUUAAAAGAGCUAAAUUAUUAUUUAUUUUAUUGUUACAUAAAUAUUUAAAAUAUUAAUUGUAGUAAUGAAAUGUUAUUCGUUUUUAAAUAUAUCUAGUUUUUUAAGAAAAAAAUUUAAUUUUAUUAAUAAAUUUGAAUAGUUUUAAAUUAAAAUUUUUUCAAUUUAUUAUUAAAUAAUUUAAGGGAUAAGCUUUAAAUUAAAAUUUUAUAAUUUACUUUAAAUAAAAAUAAUUUAUAGGAUUAAAAAUUUCUAUUAUAAAAAAUUUAUAAAAAUUUAUUAUUUUAAUUAUUAUUAUUUAUAUUGAAUUUAAUUUUUUUAUUAAAAUUAAAAAAUUAAUAUUUUGUUUUUUGUAAUAAUGAUAAAAUUAGUAUUAUUUAUAUAUAUAAAUAAAUAUAUAUAUAUAUAGGUCAAAUAAAGGAAUUCGGCAAAUAUAUUUUUCACCUGUUUAUUAAAAACAUCUCUUUUUGAUAAUAAUUUAAAGUAGGGCCUGCCCACUGAGUAAUUGAAGGGCCGCAGUAUUUUGACUGUGCAAAGGUAGCAUAAUCAUUAGUUUUUUAAUUGAAAGCUUGUAUGAAUGGUUUGAUGAGAAAAUAACUUUCUAUAUUUGAAUUUUUAAAAAUUUUAUUUUUAAGUUAAAAAGCUUAAAUUUUUUUAAUAGACGAGAAGACCCUAUAGAGUUUUAUUUUUUUUGUAAAUUUAAAUUUAUAGAAUUUAAAAAUUUUAAUUUAUAACAAAAUUUGAUUGGGGUGAUUAAAAAAUUUAAUAAACUUUUUUUAUAUAAUUACAUUAAUUUAUGAAUAUUUGAUCCAUAUAAAUGAUUAAAAGAUUAAAUUACCUUAGGGAUAACAGCGUUAUUUUUUUUUAGAGUUCUAAUCGAAAAAAAAGAUUGCGACCUCGAUGUUGGAUUAAAGUUAAUUUUAGGUGCAGAAGCUUAAAUAUUUGGUCUGUUCGACCAUUAAAACUUUACAUGAUCUGAGUUUAAACCGGUGUAAGCCAGGUUGGUUUCUAUCUUUAUAAAGUUAAUAAAUUUUAGUACGAAAGGACCAUAUUUA